rnacentral:rRNA from 1 species
CAAGUCGAACGAAUCCCAGUCCCUCACCAUGCUCUGUGACAUGGCGAGCCGCCUCGCGUAAGCGAGCGGUUUUUGUUUUUCACAGAUCGUGGUGAGGGGCUGGGGGAAGUGGCGAAAGGGGCAGUAAGGCGUGGGUAACCUACCCUGGGGACUGGGAUAGCCCUCCUAACGGAGGGGUAAUACCGGGCGACGUAUUCGAGGGGCAUCUCUUGACUACCAAAUGAAUUUCGCCCUGGGAGGGGCUCACGUAGUAUUAGCUUGUUGGUGGGGUAACGGCCUACCAAGGCGAAGAUGCUUAGCAGGUGUGAGAGCACGACCUGCGCCACUGGCACUGUGACACUGGCCAGACUCCUACGGGAGGCUGCAGUCGAGGAUCUUCGGCAAUGGGCGCAAGCCUGACCGAGCGACGCCGCGUGCGCGAUGAAGGCCUUCGGGUUGUAAAGCGCUGUCGAGGGAGAGAAAGCCGAAAGGUUGAUCGACCCCUGGAGGAAGGACGGGCUAAGUUCGUGCCAGCAGCCGCGGUAAGACGAACCGUCCUAACGUUAUUCGGAUUCACUGGGCUUAAAGGGCGCGUAGGCGGUUUACCAAGUCCGGGGUGAAAUCUUUCGGCUUAACCGGAAAAGUGCCUUGGAUACUGGUGAACUUGAGGGAGGUAGGGGCAUGUGGAACUUCCGGUGGAGCGGUGAAAUGCGUUGAUAUCGGAAGGAACGCCGGUGGCGAAAGCGACGUGCUGGCCCUCUUCUGACGCUGAGGCGCGAAAGCUAGGGGAGCAAACGGGAUUAGAUACCCCGGUAGUCCUAGCCCUAAACGAUGGGUACUAGGUAGUGGACUUAUAUGGGUUCACUGCCGAAGCAAAAGUGAUAAGUACCCCGCCUGGGGAGUAUGGUCGCAAGGCUGAAACUCAAA